rnacentral:rRNA from 1 species
CGGGGGUGCGAGCGUUGUCCGGAAUCACGUGGGCGUAAAGGGCGCGUAGGUGGUUUGAGUAAGGGUGUGGUGAAAGUCCGGGGCUCAACUCCGGAUCUGCCGUGCCGACUGUCAAACUCGAGGGCUGUAGAGGCAGACGGAAUUCCGGGUGUAGCGGUGGAAUGCGUAGAGAUCCGGAGGAAGACCGGUGGCGAAGGCGGUCUGCUGGGCAGUUUCUGACACUGAGGCGCGACAGCGUGGGGAGCAAACAGGAUUAGAUACCCUGGUAGUCCACGCCGUAAACGAUGGGUACUAGGUGCCUGGGGGAGCGACCCUCUGGGUGCCGGCGCUAACGCAGGAAGUACCCCGCCUGGGGAGUACGACCGCAAGGUUG